rnacentral:lncRNA from 1 species
AUUCCCCAGGGCAAUUCUCCACUAGGCACGAUGCAUCCAGACACACCUGGGCUCACAGAAGGGGACUGCGCAUGCAUAGAUGGCUCUGUGUUCUGAGAUCCCUGGACCUUCCUUGAGAGUUAAGGCAGGGGACACAGGUAUCUUCCCGCUGUCCACGUGACCACGUGAGGCGACAUUCUGCCAGGAGAACAUGAUGCUCUGCGGGAACCACAUGAGCAACACGCAGCUCCGUACUGAGAAAGCUCCUUCCAAACUAUAACAGUCCAGAAGGAAAUGAAACGAAGGUCGGUGCCUCGCAGAAGGAAAGGAACAGCGGCUUGGGCACAUAAGUCACAGACACAGACUCUUGCAGGACUCCCGCAUAAGGAGUGUGUGUGCACAGGAAGCCUGAAGUUGCAGAGGAUCCUCAGUGGUCCAGCCAGCCACCUGCCCAGGGAGACUUCAGAGGCUUGACUUGGAAGGAAGGAGCCACCAGUUUCCCACCACGACGACUGCCAAGCUAUGGGAAUGCUUUACGGUUCUCUUUUACAGGGUCUAAAUAUUAAACUGCCAAAUUUGUAAUUGGGGUUGUUUCUCCAGCCUGAGACAAACACCUGUGAAAUAUGGCUUGUCAUUAAAUGAUCAGAUGUGAUAAAAAACCUAGAAAACCUGAAAGCGGUUGAGCAUGAAAUAACCAUUUUUAACACAAAGCAAUUUCCUCCCCAGCCACCAAGCAGGAGUUCAGAUUUUCUUGAAAGAAUUCCAUCUCUAUACUUCAAAAGCAAACUUGGCUAAAGAUAUUCCUAUUAUAACAGUCCCCCCUUAUUCAGUUUUCCUUUCUGCAGUUUCAAUUACCUGCAGUCAUCCAAAGUCUGAAAUACUCAAUGGAAAAUUGCAGAAAUAAACAAUUUAUAAAUCUUAAGUUUCACGCCAUUCUGCCAUUCUGAAUUGUGGAGUGUAAUCUGAUAUCAUCUAACUCCAUCCUGUUCCAUGAUGCAUCCCUUAGUCCAGUGUAUCCACGCUAUAUACACUACCCACCCAUUAGUCAUCAAUGGGUAUCUUGGUUAUCAGAGUAACUGUCACAGUAUUGCACUUCCUAGGUUCACAUAACUCUUAUUUUACCUAGUACUGGUCCCAUUUCACAGAAGUAGUAAUGUUGUCAACUGCCAUCUAAUAAAAAUAAGGCUUAAAAUACUUCCCUUAUGUAUCAUCCUUCAUGAUCCCCAAAAGAGUAAGCAGAGUACAAUAAGAAAUCUGAAAGAAAACAUAUUCACAUAACUUUCAUUAAAGUAUGUUGUAAUUUUUUCUAUUUUUAUUAUGUUAUUGUCAUUAAUCUCUUAAUGUUUCUAACACAUAUUAAACUUGAUCAUAGAUAUUUAUGUAUAGGAAAACACACAGCAUGUAUCUGUGUUGAUAUAGGUUUGUAUAUACAU